rfam:Tncinocarpus reesii 1704 scaffold_3 genomic scaffold, whole genome shotgun sequence.
GGGCGCUUGGUUUAGGGGUAUAACAUACCACCCGCAAUGGUAAGGUCGUGGGUUCGAUUCCCACAGUGUCCA